rnacentral:rRNA from 1 species
UACGUAGGGGGCGAGCGUUGUCCGGAUUUAUUGGGCGUAAAGAGCUCGUAGGCGGUUUGUUGCGUCGGCUGUGAAAUCCCGAGGCUCAACCUCGGGUCUGCAGUCGAUACUGAGCAAACUAGAGUGUAGCAGGGGAGACUGGAAUUCCUGGUGUAGCGGUGAAAUGCGCAGAUAUCAGGAGGAACACCGGUGGCGAAGGCGGUUCUCUGGGCAUCAACUGACGCUGAGGAGCGAAAGCGUGGGGAGCGAACAGG